GGCAGUGUAGCACAGUGGCUAAAGGAACUGGGCUUGUGACCGAAAGGUCACAGGUUCGAUUCCUGGGUAGGACACUGCCG
rnacentral:tRNA from 1 species